GACGAACGCUGGCGGCGUGCCUAAUACAUGCAAGUAGAACGCACAGUUUAUACCGUAGCUUGCUACACCAUAGACUGUGAGUUGCGAACGGGUGAGUAACGCGUAGGUAACCUGCCUGGUAGCGGGGGAUAACUAUUGGAAACGAUAGCUAAUGCCGCAUAAUAUUAAUUACUGCAUGAUAAUUAAUUGAAAGGUGCAAUUGCACCACUACCAGAUGGACCUGCGUUGUAUUAGCUAGUAGGUGAGGUAACGGCUCACCUAGGCGACGAUACAUAGCCGACCUGAGAGGGUGAUCGGCCACACUGGGACUGAGACACGGCCCAGACUCCUACGGGAGGAAGCAGUAGGGAAUCUUCGGCAAUGGACGAAAGUCUGACCGAGCAACGCCGCGUGAGUGAAGAAGGUUUUCGGAUCGUAAAGCUCUGUUGUAAGAGAAGAACGGGUGUGAGAGUGGAAAGUUCACACUGUGACGGUAUCUUACCAGAAAGGGACGGCUAACUACGUG
rnacentral:rRNA from 1 species